UCCACCAUGGCCUGGUCCCCUCUCCUCCUCACCCUCAUCGCUCACUGCACAGGAUCGUGGGCUCAGUCUGUGCUGACUCAGCCAUCCUCAGUGUCUAGAACCCCAGGACAGAGUGUCACCAUCUCCUGUGCUGGAAGCAGCUCCAACAUCGGGGGUAAUAGUGUGGAGUGGUUCCAACAGCUUCCAGGAAAGGCCCCAAAACUCCUCAUCUAUGGUAACAGCAAUAGACCCUCAGGGGUCUCCAACCGAUUCUCUGGCUCCAAGUCUGGCAACUCGGCCUCCCUGACCAUCAGUGGGCUGCAGGCUGAGGACGAGGCUGAUUAUUACUGCUUAUCAUGGGACAGCAGUCUGAAUGGUCGCACAGUGUUCCAGGCCUGUGGGGAAGUGAGACAAAAACCUACUGUCCCAUCUACAUGGGGCUUCCCUCAGCAGCCCCCACUCCUCUGACAAGACAGCUGCUUACUUUGAUUGUUUGGCCUAAAACUGGGGCCUGAGACCCACUAAGGGAACAUUGUGUGGAAAAUCUGUCCACAUCCUUUAACUUCUACCCCCCAAGCCUGUCCUUGG